rnacentral:rRNA from 1 species
GCCUACAGUCAUGCUACUCUGAACGUGCCUGAUCUUCUUGUCUGAUCUCAGAAGCUAAGCAGCGUUGGGCCUGGUUAGUACUUGGAGGGGAGACUGCCUGGGAAUCCUGGGUGCUAUAGGCU